UACGUAGGGGGCAAGCGUUGUCCGGAUUUAUUGGGCGUAAAGAGCGUGUAGGCGGCCACACAGGUCUGCUGUGAAAACUCGAGGCUCAACCUCGAGACGUCGGUUGAAACCAUCUGGCUAGAGUCCGGAAGAGGAGAGUGGAAUUCCCGGUGUAGCGGUGAAAUGCGCAGAUAUCGGGAAGAACACCCGUGGCGAAGGCGGCUCUCUGGGACGGUACUGACGCUGAGACGCGAAAGCGUGGGGAGCGAACAGG
rnacentral:rRNA from 1 species